UGGCGGCCGUAGCGCGGUGGUCCCACCUGACCCCAUGCCGAACUCAGAAGUGAAACGCCGUAGCGCCGA
rnacentral:rRNA from 1 species